CUCCGAGACUGUCUGGAGUCUGAAACUGAUACAUUUGGAGAUGGGAGUUUUAACCUAUAUACGUUUAUAGGAAAUCAUUAAUUCGAAAUUGGAAUGUACAAAAACGAUAGCGAUUGAAUUACAGUACAGCGCAUGUUAAACAGUUAUUUAAACUCACGCUUUCAAAGUUUUUUCAGUGUUUAUCAUCAGACAAUUCAUUAUGCACAGCCUACUUUGUGAAGAUGCGCAGACUGGGGACGCACCUUUGCUCACGUGGAUGCUGUUAUUAUUAACCCUUCGAUUCCCUAACACGUAAGAAGCGCCUAGCCUAGUCUACCACACCUGUGGAGCACCUUCAGGAUGACAAGGGCCUUUCUGGAAAUUAUCAAUGUGGUAUCAUCUUCGGUCCUGAAAAGAAGCCUAUAAGCCGACGUUUAAGCCUUUGUGGCUUUUCAGUGGAGCAGUAAGUUACUUGAAAAAUGUAUUCUGAUUAAAUAGGAUUAUGACAGUUUUUGUUAAAAUGGCGUCUACCUGUUUACGUAAGGCAUGAUUGGGUAAGCGCGUGAAGUGGGCCAAUACAUGUUAAUAUAUAUAUUUUGCCAAAAGAGGUUUGAGUGAUUCCUCACAAAACCCAACUGAUCAUAUUUUGUUCAGAUUUUUACACAUUUCCAUCUAUAAUAUUAUAAUUUGGAGGAAUUGUCUACCCACAUUUGACAUUUGUGCAUAAAAACAUAUUUAAGAAUCAAAGUAGGAAGUGUUUUUACCAUUUUGGCCUUGAAGGCUUCUUUUAUUACCCCAUACUCAGUAUGCACUAAUGUAAACUUUCACAAUCUUUUGCUUGUUUCAUUGUAUGUACAGAAGGAAACUGAAAUAAUAUAAUAAUCUAUUAACUGUUACAGGUACAACCCACAUAAGACUCAGUCGGUAAAGUGGACUUGGCAGUGCUAUCUAUUUUUUAUUUGUCCAGUUGUAGCUUCUAACUUGUUUUUGUUCAAUCAUGUUAUCCAACCAUUUAUUUUUCCAAUAUCUUGUCUCUUUCACAUGUUCUCUCCUUGAUCGAGACUGGUGGUUCCUCCUCAAAGUGCCUCAAGUCAUGAUGACGCUCACCUGUCUUGACCAAUGAGAGAGUGUUUAAAGAAUGGAUUUGGCUGCAUAGUUUUUUGUCAUUACUUACUUCCAGAUUUGUUAGAAAAUGAUCCUAGCAUUACUAUUUCUUGUUGAAAUCUUACAAAAUGGAGAAGAAAAUAGACAUUGGUCAAAUGAAACAUUUACCUGUAGAUUUGUCCAAUUUACACAAAAUGUACCACAAAUAUAACUUUUUAGAUAGAAAAGUUCCCUUGAGCAUGGUUUUCCUGUUGACUCAGUGAGAUUCAUUUCUGUGCAUGUAAAAUAAACACUUUUGCUUUGUCAUUGUAGCUGCGCAAAGGCACUGUGAUGACCAGGGAACUACCCUCCCAACUGCCUCUUGUCUGAAAGGGCAAGAUGGUGGCAGUUGAAAUCUCAAAGCAUUGUUAUUUAACCACACCUCCUUGAUUUUUUGCAAAUUUGUUUAAUAAGAUGAGACAAACCUUGGACAGAAUGCUGUAACAGUAUGAUUGGUUAUCCAUGAUAGAUGAGAGAAAGCUUUCAUUUGUUUGGUCGUGCAAAAUAUAAAGUGAGAAGAAAUUGCCCCAAAACCUCUUUUUAUUUCUUUGAAUAUGAAAAUAAAAUAUAUAUGGGCACUGUAAACCAGUCUAAUCUUUUAACCACCUCACCCGUUUAGUUGACAUACAUGUGAUAUGCACUAUCCCAGUGUCAGGGUUUUGUUUAUCUUUUAGCAAAACCAUCAUUAGUAUUCAGUCUUAUGCGACUCUUCGUCACAAUAGAGGGGGAGUGACAGAGUUCAGAGAAUGAGCAGGGCAGCCUGGAACAUUGAGAUUUUGCAGACACACCCAUCACCAUUUUACUCAUGGAGCAGUGGCUCAUGGCAUUAUGGUAUGACAUAAUAUCUCAUGUAUGUGGUCUUGGAUGAAGACUGUGACGCAUGCAACAAAAUCUUGUAGCCUACAUUUAAGGUAGUUAAGAAAAACUCCAGUGGUCUUCUGAAUGCACUUAUUAAUAAUAUUAAUGGCAAUUUAAUAAUGUACAGUAGACCAAUAGAGAAAUCCUGAUAGACACCAGGCUUCUUUGGGUGUUCUUAAACACCCCUUAGGUUCAGUCUGACAGAACAAGUUAUUUUCGCUAAGCAACUCUGUGAUGUUUAUCUGGGAGUCUUAUCAUUGACCGGCCUGGACAGAUCACUUAAUUAUAACCUGUUAAAGCUUGCUUUUUGCAUCUGCUGUCAGACCUCAUAAUCGCACAACCUUCAAUGUACUCUUUAAUGGUUUUGAAGCGGCUUUAGAUGGUUUUCAACCCUGCCUAAACCCUUCCACUUGUGUUCUGUACAGGUGUGUCCCAAGCCUGACCUGAAAUGUUUGACGUGUGCAAUAUUCCAAUUGUAAUUAAGUAGGUGGAAAAAAAAUCACACGCAAUCGGGUCUUCAAACACUGACAACGGUCCAUCAGAGCAGGUUAAAAUACAGAACCACAAAACGUGUGUCCAAUGGCGAAAUUAAAACGUAGUCACCUUUUGGGAGAUCUCUCAAUCUUUAAAACACCUUCGUAUAUAAUUAUGACUAAGAAUGUUUUGCUUUAGUUACACUGAAAGUCGACAGGCACAAUAUAUUAUGUAGUUCUAACUAUAAUUUUUUUAUGUUGGCAGCAUAUUAAGAUGGCUGUUGUCUUUGUUUACAGGAGGCCCUUAAGAUACCUUGAACCAGGCCGACAACCUCUGUGUCUGUGUCGAUGGCACUGCGUUCUGUGGCUGAUGUGCUUUGCGCCACAAAGACUUUGCUCCAAGGAUAGGUUUCCCACACUGACGUCGUCGGCCACACACUCUCUGUCGGCCAUGACUCGUAACUAGAGACGAUGAGUGACAGGUCGGUCCCCCGCACAGCACAGGGGGCCUGAGAUCCCCACACUAUUUUCAGAAGCAUUUUGAGGACUGGCCUUUCUCCCAUCACAGCUGUUCUGGGCGUUAUGCUCAAAGACUAGCGGCCAAAGUAUGCCAAUGCAGGUGAAGCAAUCUGAGUAAUGAAAGAAGAAAAUUAGAUAAAUGAACUGUCUGGAAAUUGUGUCAUCCACUGCAUGCACAGUCAGCUGCCUAAUGCUAUAUUUUGGUUUGAAAGAUUUGCUAGCAAUUUUCAGUUGUUGACAGAUUUGUGGAGAGACGGCAUCUAUCCAGAUGAAUAAAUAAAACAUGUUUGCUGCUGAUGUUAUUAACAGUCACCAGCAGUUUUGAGCUGAUAGUCCUGCACAUCCUAAAAAAACAACUAAUUGCAUAAUUGGCAUUAUUCUGUAAUAUGAGUGAACUAAAUAUGGCAAGGAAUUAGAGCUGAUGUGUUUGUUUUUUCAGUCAACAAACUUUGCUUGAAGCGAACUAAAUUAGAAAAGUAGAAGUUUGUUUUCUGUUUUCCUUGGGAAAGCAACAAUGAAUUCAGUAUGUUGGUUUAACAGUGACAAAAUGUUGAUAAGACUCACAAUCCUACGCAGCUGGUUGCCUUUACAGUUCAGUUAACCAUCUCAGCUUGAAGUUAGCUGAACUGGAUCAAGCUUGAGGAGAAUUACAAAUAUGUUGGCUCAAAACCACACCUAUCUCCCAUGUCUUCUAGCAUGCUUUAUUGCAGGUUAACUUGCCAAACUUUCUUUUAUAACCUGUAUUUUUGCAUGGAGUGUAGAUUAAUUGGUUAAUUUAAAACUAUUCUAGACAAACAUAUAUAGCAUACAUUUUCCAAAAUCAAUCUCAUCUGCUCGCUUUACAAAUGCAACAGUAUGGCGUGCUGUGUCGGCAUCGAAUGUGAAGACAAAUUGUUUGUCAUCAGAGGACCUUGAAUAAGCAUGUCAGCUGCAACUUGCUGGUGUGUUUUUAACUGUUUCCAUUCAACAGUCACUAAAGUAAAGGCUUUUUAGGUUUUACACAAGGGACGAGUACCUUAUUUUUUACCUUUGUUGUUUUUAGACAGCUGCAAAUUUACUUGGGUCCUUUCUGGUUAAUAGUUGGAUGUUUUCCACCCACUAUAGAGAUUGCUGUUCCAGUUCAUAUUCUCUACCUUAGCUGUCAUUCACAAUGCAGGUUUCAGGUGAGGUUCAAAUGAUCCAGCCUUUUCCUGACUCUGUGUGGACUUAUCAGUUUAACAAACAUUGUGUUACUUGCAGGCUUAAUGUGGCCUGUAAACCAGGAGUUGUAGACCACUGUUAGGCUGAAAUUAUAGGUACUCAAGAUAAUCCUUAUAUAUUGUUAAAAUAUUGUCUUGAAAAGUUUACUUUUGCACUACUGUAAACCUAUAGUAGAUGACAUUCUAAAGUAGAAUUAUAUUUUAACCAGAAAUUCUAAGCUGUGUGAACAUAUAAUUCAACAUGAGAAUGUAUUUGUCAAAAUUGUGAAACUCAGAGCUGAUUGCAUGUAAUUGUGCAUUUCAAAAACGUUUAUUUUACAGAUUUGUACUCCGAUGAACAUUAUGUAUUGUGUUAGAUAUGAAUCAUAUAAUGACCAUGUAAGUUUUCCAAAAACGUUCAAACGGUAUAAAGCGUUUUUUCUAAUUUCUCUAUAUUGUGAUCAAGGACGAGAUAUAACUGUUCACAAACAUUCCAAAUAAAUGAAUUAUCCGCAGCAGUUUUGGGUGUAUUCUGACAAUGAAACAAUCUGAGACAGGCACAGGCUGGCUCGUUAACAUGAAUUCAUUUGGAUUUAAGGAACACUUGACGUGAGUACAUGUACGUUAUGUGGUAAUGUUAAAAUGUUGCAGCAUGUCUCAAAUUAUAUCCAGUAGCCUACAUUUGAUCUAUAUUUUGGUAUGGUCGAAGUUAUGAGGAAACAAUAUUCAUUAUGUUGUGUAA